CCCAUGCAAGACGAUGAACUCAUCUCCUUCAUCCUGGCCGGCUUCGACCUCGACUACAAUCCUCUGGUAUCUGCUCUUGAUGCUCGCCCUGAACCCAUCACUCUCAACGGCUUGUACUCGCAGAUGGCGAAUUUUGAUC
rfam:Triticum aestivum genome assembly, contig: Triticum_aestivum_CS42_TGACv1_scaffold_374031_5AL